AGCUUAACUUUUGGGAGUUACAACGAGCGGGGCUGGAAACUGCUGCUGGAUCUGCUUAAGCAAUCUCCAAAGCUUGAAACACUAAUCGUCCAGGGUCUGGAUGGUUACGUAGGUGAUGUUAGGAUUCGUCCGUUCCAAGUGAAGGUGGAGGAACUGGUAAAGCGUUGGAAAUCUUGAAGAGUUUUCUUGGAUGAUUCCAUAAGAUCACAAACUAAUAGAGGAUCUACUGAUCUUGGAUGAUUCCAUAAGAUCACAAACCAAUAGAGGAUCUAGUGAAAGUUUCAAUUUCAUCCAAGUGCAAGAUCAAUGUGUAACAUUAAACUUAUAUAUUAAUUUAUGCGCAUUUUGCUUCCUAUUUAAUUCUGACUGAUCGAUCAGACAACUAUCUACCACAAUAAGUAUAAACAAAAAGAAAUGCAAUAAAAAUAAGAAUUUAGUGGUAGAUAAGUGUGUGGACAAAAACAAGAAAAUAAUGAUUAAGCUUUAAGAGAAAAUAGUCCUACACUGCUUGAACUUGGAUUGUUGGUGAGUAUUGGAUAUAAAGUUUACACCAUGCAAAAGAGAGAAUAUUUUCAAUCAUGCCCCCAACUUUGAUAUUUGUGAGGGAUAUAAAGUUUAAGCCAUUGUUUCUUAUUUUCUUGAAUAGGCACGGCUCUGGGUUGGCAUUCCAUCACUGAAAUCCCGAAGCAAGACAAGGUAGGAUCAUGUCACUGAAAUACACUUUUCCUCACAGGCUUGCAUGAGUUUUACGAAGAUGGUUCGAAGUAAGACUCAUCCUGAAGCUUUGUGUUUGACAGGAUCUAACGGUUUCAUGGAAUACUGGCUGUUGGUUUUUAGUUAGUUCUAAAGUGAUCAACAAAUUUGAUGUUUUAUUACGACAUCUAUAUCUUUUAAUCUAAACAAAAUUCUAAAUUAAUAGAUUAGAUCCUUACUUUUUUUGGUUAGCAACUUAGAGGCUGACUAGUUUUCCCGCUACCACCCGCUUUUGCGGUUGGUAGCAGUUGUUGGCAUUUUAAAACAAUCACAAUAAAUGCUAUACAUCGAUUCAAAUCGCUCUAAACCUCUUAAAAUCAAAAGUUGGUUUCAGAGCUACCGUUUGCGGUUGAAGACAGUUGCAUGUGGAUAAAUAAAUAUAAAAAUAUUAUUUUAAAAUAUUUAAAAUGGAAAUAUUAUAAAUAAAAAAUAAAUAUACAUUUUAUAUUUAAAUGUAAACAACAUAUUAAGUUCAGAUUUUAUGUUUAAAAUAUAUAUACAUUUCUAAAAAAGAUCAAGAAUACUAACUAUAAUUUUUAAACAUUAAUAUAUAUAUAUGUAAUAUACAUAUAGAAGGAUAUAUACAUAUAUAAACAAAACAAAAUAUUAUUGUAAAAGUUUUAAUAUAAAUCUUCAAAACCAAUUUUAUUGAAAUUAUAACUUCCAUCUAAAUUAAAAAUUAAAUAAAUAAACAUAAUAAUAUUAAUUAUACUAUAUUAAUAAUUAUAUAUUUUAUCACAAUAUUGCGUUUUUGAUAUGUUUAUAAUGUUAUAAUAUGUUAAUAUUGCUUAUUUAUUAUUAAACCGCUGCAGUAUUUUGUUAUCAACCAAUCACAAAUAUUCUGCAAACGCAUCAAUGUUUAAAUAUUGUGCUAGUUAUACAAAACACUUAAUAACAUUUGAAACUGCAACCACCUACAUUUGCAAACUCUCACACCCGUAAUCGCAACCGCUGCGUUUGAACCAAAUAUAUAAAAUUGAAUAUAAUUAUAAAUAUCAAAUAUGAAUAUAUUUUAGUUCAUAAAAUAAAAUAAAAAUAUUCUUAAUAAACUCUUUUUGUCUUCGAUGAUUUUUUAGAAUAUUUUUUCCAAACAUCUUUAGCAGCUUUUCCUAAAAUAUACUUACCAAAGAUAUAAAAUUGAAGAAAAAACUUUUAAUCUUUUACUUUUAUCUUCUUCUCUUCUCUAACUUUGACGGUUGGUCUGGAUCGAAGAAUCCGAGCAUCAUCAUCAUCAUCUGUUUGACGUCCUCCGCCAGUUCGUAUUCAAUUCAAAACGAAAAGGCAGAAGAGACUGGGUUCUGUCUGUAUGGAAGCCAACAGUGGCUUGAGAGACGCAAUCAGCUGGCUUCCUGACGAGGUUCUGGGAAAGAUCUUGUCCUUAGUUCCCACAAAAGAAGCUGCUUCAACAUCUGUUCUUGCUAAAAGGUGGAGGCAUGUGUUUAGAUUAGUGGACACUCUUGAUUUUGAUGACACUGUGUUUCUGCAACCGGAAGAGGGCAAAGAAGAGUGUCCUGUGAUCCGGGAGAGCUUCAGAAACUUCGUGGACAGAACACUAGCUUUGCAAUGCGGUUCUCCUAUCAAGAAAUUCUCUCUAAAGUUUCACAUUCACGAGAUGAAAGAGAUGGCUCAUGCGUUCCCCUGGAUAUGCAAUGCCGUAGAGCGU